AUUAAUAUAGGCGAAACAACAACCAGAAAAAAAGUCGGCGCUCGUGGCCACCGUCUUCGAUGUGGGAUGAACUCGGAUACACAGAAGCGCGGAUCUUACAAUGUGCAAGCAUCUCCAAGUAAUGGUGAAGUGGCUAUGGGAAAUGGUAGCAGUUUCAACGAAACCACCGCGUUAUCGUGGUCCUCGGGGGCUUGAUCAGCCCGCCGUCAUCCAAGCACUGACCAACCUGCCUACCGACGUCAGCUCCCUGCCCUGAAACCCCUGGCCAGCCUACCGUCCUCGGCACCUUGCCCAAUUCCUGUCCUGAGGGCAGUGCCUGUAAAUAAACUGUUUGAAGAUAACCGAGCGUCAUCCAUCCAGGUCCACGAAAAUGCCUGUUCGUGAACAUUUAUUCGCAAAUAAACUGUCAUAAAAGUCAA